UUUACGGAGAGUUUGAUCCUGGCUCAGGACGAACGCUGGCGGCGUGCUUAACACAUGCAAGUCGAACGAUGAUCAGGAGCUUGCUCCUGUGAUUAGUGGCGAACGGGUGAGUAACACGUGAGUAACCUGCCC
rnacentral:ncRNA from 1 species